GACGAACGCUGGCGGCGUGCCUAAUACAUGCAAGUAGAACGCUGAAGGAGGAGCUUGCUUCUCCGGAUGAGUUGCGAACGGGUGAGUAACGCGUAGGUAACCUGCCUGGUAGCGGGGGAUAACUAUUGGAAACGAUAGCUACUACCGCAUAACAGUAGAUGUUGCAUGACAUUUGCUUAAAAGGUGCAAUUGCAUCACUACCAGAUGGACCUGCGUUGUAUUAGCUAGUUGGUGAGGUAACGGCUCACCAAGGCGACGAUACAUAGCCGACCUGAGAGGGGGAUCGGCCACACUGGGACUGGGACACGGCCCAGACUCCUACGGGAGGCAGCAGUAGGGAAGCUUCGGCAAUGGACGGAAGUCUGACCGAGCAACGCCGCGUGAGUGAAGAAGGUUGUCGGAUCGUAAAGCUCUGUUGUAAGAGAAGAACGAGUGUGAGAGUGGAAAGUUCACACUGUGACGGUAUCUUACCAGAAAGGGACGGCUAACUACGUG
rnacentral:rRNA from 1 species